UCUAAAAUGGCAGAUUAGUGCAAUGGAUUUAAACCCCAUAAAUAAAGUUUAAACUUUUUUUAGAA
rnacentral:tRNA from 1 species